GAGAGAGAAGUAUAUUGGAGAUACAUUUAGUUUGAAACUAGGAUAAGGUGGUUCGAUUCCCCCCCCUCUUG
rnacentral:tRNA from 1 species